rnacentral:rRNA from 1 species
UACGUAGGGUGCAAGCGUUAAUCGGAAUUACUGGGCGUAAAGCGUGCGCAGGCGGUUUUGUAAGUCUGUCGUGAAAUCCCCGGGCUCAACCUGGGAAUUGCGAUGGAGACUGCAAGGCUAGAAUCUGGCAGAGGGGGGUAGAAUUCCACGUGUAGCAGUGAAAUGCGUAGAGAUGUGGAGGAACACCGAUGGCGAAGGCAGCCUUCUGGGCCAACACUGACGCUCAUGCACGAAAGCGUGGGGAGCAAACAGG